AUUGAACGCUGGCGGCAGGCCUAACACAUGCAAGUCGAGCGGAUGAAGGGAGCUUGCUCCUGGAUUCAGCGGCGGACGGGUGAGUAAUGCCUAGGAAUCUGCCUGGUAGUGGGGGAUAACGUCCGGAAACGGGCGCUAAUACCGCAUACGUCCUGAGGGAGAAAGUGGGGGAUCUUCGGACCUCACGCUAUCAGAUGAGCCUAGGUCGGAUUAGCUAGUUGGUGGGGUAAAGGCCUACCAAGGCGACGAUCCGUAACUGGUCUUAGAGGAUGUUCAGUCACACUGGAACUGAGACACGGUCCAGACUCCUACGGGAGGCAGCAGUGGGGAAUAUUGGACAAUAGGCGAAAGCCUGAUCCAGCCAUGCCGCGUGUGUGAAGAAGGUCUUCGGAUUGUAAAGCACUUUAAGUUGGGAGGAAGGGCAGUAAGUUAAUACCUUGCUGUUUUGACGUUACCAACAGAAUAAGCACCGGCUAACUUCGUG
rnacentral:rRNA from 1 species